CACCCAGAUGCCUGUGAACUAAGUGAUAUACACCAGAUUUAUUUAACUACUGGCAACCACUUUUUUUUUUCUUUGUAGGGCAAUGAGUUAAAAGAUUAUUUACCUCCCUUGGUUACAAAAAGAAGAAAUACUUCUUCCAAGACUCUGGGUAGCUGCGGCCAGUUCUUCCAGAGAAAUUAUUUACCUCAAAGAUUCAGAGCGCGGAGCUUGGAAGCCUUGGCCCACCCGACUCCUUGCCGCUGCACUGCAUGGGCACCUUCUGAGGGGAGAGGCUCUCGAAACAGAUCCCCAAUGACCUGACUCAUCAGCUUAACCAGUGCAGGUAAGUUAAUGUCUAGUAUACCUGAGCACUUCAGUUUUAACU
rnacentral:lncRNA from 1 species